GACGAACGCUGGCGGCGUGCUUAACACAUGCAAGUCGAACGGAAAGGCCCUGCUUUUGUGGGGUGCUCGAGUGGCGAACGGGUGAGUAACACGUGAGUAACCUGCCCUUGACUUUGGGAUAACUUCAGGAAACUGGGGCUAAUACCGGAUAGGAGCUCCUGCUGCAUGGUGGGGGUUGGAAAGUUUCGGCGGUUGGGGAUGGACUCGCGGCUUAUCAGCUUGUUGGUGGGGUAGUGGCUUACCAAGGCUUUGACGGGUAGCCGGCCUGAGAGGGUGACCGGCCACAUUGGGACUGAGAUACGGCCCAGACUCCUACGGGAGGCAGCAGUGGGGAAUAUUGCACAAUGGGCGGAAGCCUGAUGCAGCAACGCCGCGUGCGGGAUGAAGGCCUUCGGGUUGUAAACCGCUUUCGCCUGUGACGAAGCGUGAGUGACGGUAAUGGGUAAAGAAGCACCGACUAACUACGUG
rnacentral:rRNA from 1 species